GGCCCUAUGGGGUAGCGGAUAUCCUGUCAGACUUCGGAACUGAUGAUCCGGGUUCGAUUCCCGGUAGGGCCGCCA
rnacentral:tRNA from 1 species